rnacentral:rRNA from 1 species
UGGCUCGAGGACGACGCUGGCGGCGUGCUUAACACAUGCAAGUCGAACGGAAAGGCCCUGCUUUGUGGGGUGCUCGAGUGGCGAACGGGUGAGUAACACGUGAGUAACCUGCCCUUGACUUUGGGAUAACUUCAGGAAACUGGGGCUAAUACCGGAUAGGAGCUCCUGCUGCAUGGUGGGGGUUGGAAAGUUUCGGCGGUUGGGGAUGGACUCGCGGCUUAUCAGCUUGUUGGUGGGGUAGUGGCUUACCAAGGCUUUGACGGGUAGCCGGCCUGAGAGGGUGACCGGCCACAUUGGGACUGAGAUACGGCCCAGACUCCUACGGGAGGCAGCAGUGGGGAAUAUUGCACAAUGGGCGGAAGCCUGAUGCAGCAACGCCGCGUGCGGGAUGACGGCCUUCGGGUUGUAAACCGCUUUCGCCUGUGACGAAGCGUGAGUGACGGUAAUGGGUAAAGAAGCACCGGCUAACUACGUG